rnacentral:misc_RNA from 1 species
GUUUUUUUCCACUGCUAAACACAAGAGAGUGUGUAUGUGAGAGAUCUUUCAGUUGGUUUAAUCACACACAGGAUAAGAGAGUAUAAUAACAUAAUUAGGCUUUUAGUUAGGCUGUUACUGCAUUUUUUGUUUUGGUGUUGAGAAACUGGAGGUAGGAAGAAGUGAAAUGAAAUGAGGGAUGUUAUCAAGGCUGAUAAAUUUCCUGAAGGCCUGUUGGCGGCCAUCGUCAGAUCAUUCUGUACAUGCUGGUUCGGAUGCAGCUGGACGACAAGAUGGACUUUUUUGGUAUAAG